ACGCUCGACACCUACGGGAGGCAGCAGGUGGGGAAUAUUGCACAAUGGGGGAAACCCUGAUGCAGCAACGCCGCGUGAAGGAAGACGGUUUUCGGAUUGUAAACUUCUGUUCUUAGUGAAGAUAGUGACGGUAGCUAAGGAGCAAGCCACGGCUAACUACGUGCCAGCACGCCCCGGUAAUCUGAGCGGGCUGGCAAGGC
rnacentral:rRNA from 1 species